GAUGAACGCUGGCGGUAUGCUUAACACAUGCAAGUCGAACGAACCCUUCGGGGCGAGUGGCGGACGGGUGAGUAACGCGUGAGGAACUACCUUUAGUUCGGGGACAACAGUUGGAAACGACUGCUAAUACCGGAUGAGCCGAGAGGUAAAAGAUUUAUUGACUAGAGAGGUACUCGCGUCUGAUUAGCUAGUUGGUGGGGUAAGAGCCUACCAAGGCAACGAUCAGUAGCUGUUCUGAGAGGAAGACCAGCCACACUGGGACUGAGACACGGCCCAGACUCCUACGGGAGGCAGCAGUGGGGAAUUUUCCGCAAUGGGCGAAAGCCUGACGGAGCAAUACCGCGUGUGGGAGGAAGGCCCUUGGGUCGUAAACCACUUUUCUUAGGGAAGAAGAUCUGACGGUACCUAAGGAAUAAGCCUCGGCUAACUCCGUGCCAGCAGCCGCGGUAAUACGGAGGAGGCAAGCGUUAUCCGGAAUUAUUGGGCGUAAAGAGUCCGUAGGUUGUCUUUCAAGUCUGCUGUCAAAGGCGGAAGCUCAACUUCCGAAAGGCAGUGGAAACUGAGAGACUAGAGAAUGGUAGGGGUAGAGGGAAUUCCCAGUGUAGCGGUGAAAUGCGUAGAGAUUGGGAAGAACACCGGUGGCGAAAGCGCUCUACUGGGCCAUAACUGACACUGAGGGACGAAAGCUAGGGUAGCGAAAGGGAUUAGAUACCCCUGUAGUCCUAGCCGUAAACGAUGGGUACUAGGCGUAGCUUGUAUCGACCCGAGCUGUGCCGAAGCAAACGCGUUAAGUACCCCGCCUGGGGAGUACGCACGCAAGUGUGAAACUCAAAGGAAUUGACGGGGGCCCGCACAAGCGGUGGAGUAUGUGGUUUAAUUCGAUGCAACGCGAAGAACCUUACCAAGGCUUGACAUCCCGCGAAUCUUUGUGAAAGCGAAGAGUGCCUUAGGGAGCGCGGAGACAGGUGGUGCAUGGCUGUCGUCAGCUCGUGUCGUGAGAUGUUGGGUUAAGUCCCGCAACGAGCGCAACCCUCGUCCUUAGUUGCCAGCAUUAAGUUGGGCACUUUAGGGAGACUGCCGGUGACAAACCGGAGGAAGGUGGGGAUGACGUCAAGUCAGCAUGCCCCUUACGUCUUGGGCUACACACGUACUACAAUGGACGGGACAAAGGGCAGCGAACUCGCGAGGGUAAGCGAAUCUCAUCAAACCCGUUCACAGUUCAGAUUGCAGGCUGCAACUCGCCUGCAUGAAGGAGGAAUCGCUAGUAAUCGCCGGUCAGCAUACGGCGGUGAAUCCGUUCCCGGGCCUUGUACACACCGCCCGUCACACCAUGGAAGCUGGUAACAUCCGAAGUCGUUACUCCAACUGCUUGCAGAGGAGGGUGCCGAAGGUGGGACUAGUGACUGGGGUG
rnacentral:rRNA from 1 species